GCACCAAGUGGAACCAUUUCAUUGUAGAAAAAGAUGGAAUCCAUGGAAAAUGUGCUUACUGCAAAAGCUUAAUAAGCAUUUCUAGAGGAUCACAGCAAUUUGACAAGACAUUUGAAAUGAAGCAUCCUACCGUGCCUAUAGAGUGGUCCGAUAUUCUCCCAAGCUUCUGGCUCUGAUCAAACAUUUUCUGAGGAAUCUGCUGCACAGUUACCUUCUACAUUAUUGUCGUCUGCAGUACCACCAUCGACUUCUAGACAACUUAUGUCAAUCGCAGGUCAGCAGAUAAUAACCAACUAUAUUGAUCGUCCACCAGCCAAUUGGAAGAUUGCUCAAAUCGACAGAUAGGUCCUGAAAAUGAUUGCAUUGGGGAAUCACGCUCUGCGUCUUGUACAUGUAUCGGCUUACUACGUCGAUGUAGAGAGUUGCACGUUACAGUGGACGCUCAGUCUAAGUUCAAAGAAGCUUAAAAAAAAACUUGGCCUGCAGGAGUUGAAGCUGACAAACGAUGUCGUCACUAGGUGGAACUCCACGUACGAUAUGUUUCAACGAAUUGCUGAUAAUAAAAAUCCAUCAGCCAUUGUCUUGCCAAAUUUGAA